ACAGUGUCGACAGAGUACGCUAUCUUCAAAUCAAAAAGUGAUAGCUUUUCUCCUGGCUGCUUGAAAAAACAAGGGGUCUACUUCUUCAUUAAUAAGUGGAGGGGCCUCGCCACGGUUUCCCUCUUCACUUCUUCAUGAACAAGUGGAGGGGCCUCGCCACGGUUUCCCUCUUCACUUCUUCAUGGGGUUACUUCUUCAAGGACGACUUCUCCAACUAACCUGUGGCAUAACAUACCCAAUAUAGAUAGGCUUCGCUGGAAAAUCACGGAACUUACUCACACAGACCAUACCGAAUUAGCUCAUACACGGACCAUACCAACUAUUAUCACACAUCUACUCAAACGACCAAAUCAAUAAUCACAAAAAACGUUUAUUCUGUAAAAAAAACUGUUGAUCUAUAAGAAUACAUGCAAAAAAAUACAACAUAUUGUUAUACUCUAUAAGUGUAUUCAAUAUUAAAAACAUUCUAAUUGUAACUUUUAGCAAAAUUUUCAAAAAAAAAUCUCAACGUUACUUAUACCAAAAUUUUCUAAAAAAAAUUUUUACUUUACUUUAUUUUUUACUCAUCCGUUUGUCUAUAAAAUUCAUCAAAUUUUUUCCAAAAAAUUUAACCAAUGCUUUCAUCAUGGGUACAAUAUCAAUACAAUAUAGUAAGUACGCUACAAUAUUUAGCAUACUAUUCUGUUGUACGAUACAUAAAAUACAAUACCAGUAUACUACGGUUUACAUAAUAUGGGGUUACAAGUUAAAUACACUAUGAUGUAUGAAAUGGUACAUGCCUAUACAAUCAGCAGCACGACCAAAUCAACACCACAACAAAAUGUGUACUUACUUAUACCUCUUCGGAAAAAUUAUUAACAUGCGUAAACAAAAAUUACAAAAAUGGGCUCUUUUGUGGGAACUAAAAGACUGAAACAGUUUCAGGGGCACUAAAAGACUUGAAACAGUUUCUGGGGACAAGACAAGAGGAAUCUGGGCUAAACUACUGGGGAAGACUAGUGUGAUAGUUACUCGGGGGGUCAAACUUCAGGGUGAACGUUACAAGUAUUAUAAGUGUAACACCAAGUGGGGGUGGCUAAAGAUAUUGGGGGCUAGUAGAUAAGCUAACUACUAGUGCAAAUGGUAUACAAGCUAGACUUGUAACAGUGGGUACAUAAAAUAUGACAAAAGUCAAGCUUCCAUGUUAUCGGAAACACCUGCACCACAAACUGAGAUCGGCUGCCCAAGGGGACGGGCACUGCCUAACAGUUGUAGUACAAAUGAGACCGAAAGGAGGCUAAAAGGACAUGGUAGUGGGAACAUGCAAAUGGGGUCUGAGGGAGGCAAAAAAGACAUGCCCCACGUUGUCGGGGCCAGUUGAAGCAUUCAACUGGACAAGACAACUACUGGAUACUGAAGGAGGCAGAAAAAUGAAUCGGCCUCACACGUUGGGCGACAUUUGAUGCAUUUUUAAGCCCCACACGUUGGGCGCAAUUUGAUGCAUUUUACAUGUCUGCUCAUAUGGGAACAAGGAAAGACUAUCUAUAUUUGGGUAUAUUAUUGCCACAGGUUAGUUGGAGAAGUCAUCCUUGAAGAAGUAACCCCAUGAAGAAGUGAAGAGGGAAACCGUGGCGAGGCCCCUCCACUUAUUAAUGAAGAAGUAGACCCCUUGUUUUUUCAAGCAGCCAGGAGAAAAGCUAUCACUUUUUGAUUUGAAGAUAGCGUACUCUGUCGACACUGUUUUGAAAAUAACCCUUGAUAUAUGGAUUUGUUCAUGUUAGAAGUGAAGAAAAAGUAACCCCAUGAAGAAGUGAAGAGGGAAACCGUGGCGAGGCCCCUCCACUUGUUCAUAAAGAAGUGAAGAGGGAAACCGUGGCGAGGCCCCUCCACUUAUUAAUUAAAUGAUGUAUGUUUUCUUGUAUCUGGCAUAUCACAAGUGUAAUACUCGUGAUGAGGAAGUGUUUUACAGUUGUCUGGGAAUACUCCCAUUAAUAGUCGGAGCAAGAACGGUUUUAUUUGUGUAAGCUCAUAUAAGAACCAAAUUUCAAUAUUUGUUUGUGUUUGUAAACCCAUGUAUAUGGAGUAUAUAUAAGAACCAAGUUUCAAUAUUUAUUUGUGUUUGUAAGCCCAUGUAUAUGAAGAAUGUCUAAAUGUCUUAUGAAUCUGUUUGUUCCCUGCUUGUUUGUCUAUCCCUGUUUAGUCUGGAAAUUUUAGAGUCUGUUAUCCCGUAAUGUCUGUUAGCCCAUGUCCCUGAUGGAGUUUGAUUUUUUUUGGCGAAUAGUUCGUUGACCUCUCUUGUGUUUGUUUAUUGAAAGUAGGCCAAGAGCAGAAGCUGUGACAAGGCUGGUGAGCUUAGGAUCUGGCCGCGUUGAGUACAGGUGAAGCUUGCUUUCGGUGGAUAAAUGGAAGUGGUCGUUCGUCGGAAUUGUCAUUCUUUCCAAUGUCCCUUUGGUCUUUCCCUUGUGUGUUUGCUUUCAUCCCUGUUUUGAAAAAGUAGUCUAACCCCAGUUUGGAAGAGUGAAGUCUACUCAUGUUUUGGAAAAAUAUGGUCUACUUAUGUUUUGGAAAAGUAAGAUCUACUCAUGUUUUGGAAAAGUAAGAUCAUAUCCCCGGUUUUGAAAAAUAAAGAAUAUCCCAGUUAGUGAUUUGAAAAUGUGAAAGUUGUCUUGUGAACUUUCAUGAAAGGCUUUUAUGUCCUAGGUAGGACUGUUGAUUGAAAACGUAAUGAUGUAGUAUUUCCUAUGUCAUGUGUUACGUUCAUUUUUUUUGGUCUUGAUUAAAUGGUUUGAUAUCCCAUUUGAAACCAGUAUACUAGUUUUUUUUUGGUCUUUUUAUGUUGUCACACGCACCCCCCCCCCUUUGUUGGUUUUGUUUGAAUGAGUUGUUGAGAUAAGUUAUUUGUGACAUUUUAUCUCGACGAGGUAUUUAGACUGGAUUGUCUAAAUCCUCCUUUUGCAGAACCGUUGCCGAUAAAAGUCCCGUGAAACUCGCUAGGUGUUUAGAGUUUAAGCAGAUGCCUAUCUGCUGAGCCAAGAGCUCAGAAAGAUUUUUUAGUUUUUGAAAACCAAUCCUGGUUAGGCAACGAGGUGAUGAGGCUGUGUCUGCCCUGCUAUAUGGUAUAUAUUAUAUGGUAUAUAUAGUAUAUAUGUCACUUGUGUUACUGCAGUGGAUGUCAGCGAGGUCCACACAGGGCACAAGAUUAUUUCUUUCCCAAGGCACAGAAACUCUUGUCACCUACAGUUCUUUGUAGAGUCAAGAAACAUUUAAGUCUACUCGACUUUAAAGAGUCUGGCGAUUGAUGGCACGCUAGCCCACUCCCUAACAAUGAUGUUUUGUUUUUGUUUAAUCCCCACUAGCCAUUAUUUAAAUAUUUUUGUAUUGUUGUCCUGUCACACCCAAGAAGUCAAUGUUGGAUUUUUGUAGUUAUCGAAAACUGAAUUGGUAAUCCAGUUUCCUCUCUUCCGAGGAGGCUAUUGUAGCAGAUGGAUUUCUACUACAAUAUUUUAUAAAAAAUAUCCAUUAAUUUUAAUCCUAUCCCAAGAAAAAUAUUAAUUUUUUUAAUAUAUUUUGCGAGUUUAUAUAUCUUUAAAAUUUCCUAAGCCGCUCCUGUUCGCAUUGUAAAGGUUAGGAAAUUUCCUAUUUAUUUGUGUAGCAAUAACCAACUACGUAGAUUGUUAUUGAAAACAUCCAUUAUUCGAGAAUGAAUCCUCUAAAAGGUUCAGUGUUUUUCCUUUAAGUUUUGAGCGCUAAAAAUCCCAUGUUAUUAUUGGUCUGCAUUUUGAAAGAUCCUUGAGUUGUAGUUGACGAUUGGUCAAUAGUUUUGGCCGAACGAUCGAGAAGAAAUGCAUCGUUUGGACGCGAGAGAGACGUGACGAUGUAAAGCCAGUUCUAAAAGUACAUCACUUCAGUAAACAUCUUUUUGUUAGAACUCAACCAACAGACUCGCAGAAAGUCGCACUUUGCCGGCCAAAAUGGUUUUAUUUUUAUGGUAAAAGAAGUGAAAGACUGGCAGUUUGCCCAGUAAAUGUCAACGAAUAUAAUGACAAUAGUUUCACGGCAUUUUAAUGGAUAUAUUAUUGUGAAAUAGUUCUAUUGUUAUGCAGUUUGGUUUGCCGGUGGUAAUAAAAAAGAAGUGCGUGGUUUCCUGGUUCCUGUCCUUUAUGUAGCUGUUGCUAUUUUUAUGAUGUUUUGAUUUGUUCAUGUUCCAGUAAGAAAUGCCCAGAUGAUAUUAUUUGGUAUCGAUUUUAUCCAGUUUUGUAAUGAUUUGGAUUUGAAUAUCUUCCCCUCCCAGCCCCGUCUGAAUGGAAAAUUUUGAAGUUCCAAGUGUUGUGACAUGGAUUUUUGUUUUAAGUUUUAGAACAGAAGAAAAUAUAAUGGCAUAGAAGCCAAAUGAUGAUAAAUAAGUAGCCCACUAUAACCCCAA